CAUGGGAUGGGGUCGCGUCCUAUCAGCUUGUUGGCGGGGUGAUGGCCCACCAAGGCGUUGACGGGUAGCCGGCCUGAGAGGGUGACCGGCCACAUUGGGACUGAGAUACGGCCCAGACUCCUACGGGAGGCAGCAGUGGGGAAUAUUGCACAAUGGGCGCAAGCCUGAUGCAGCGACGCCGCGUGCGGGAUGGAGGCCUUCGGGUUGUAAACCGCUUUUGUUCAAGGGCAAGGCACGGUUUCGGCCGUGUUGAGUGGAUUGUUCGAAUAAGCACCGGCUAACUACGUGCCAGCAGCCGCGGUAAUACGUAGGGUGCGAGCGUUAUCCGGAUUUAUUGGGCGUAAAGGGCUCGUAGGCGGUUCGUCGCGUCCGGUGUGAAAGUCCAUCGCCUAACGGUGGAUCUGCGCCGGGUACGGGCGGGCUGGAGUGCGGUAGGGGAGACUGGAAUUCCCGGUGUAACGGUGGAAUGUGUAGAUAUCGGGAAGAACACCAAUGGCGAAGGCAGGUCUCUGGGCCGUCACUGACGCUGAGGAGCGAAAGCGUGGGGAGCGAACAGGAUUAGAUACCCUGGUAGUCCACGCCGUAAACGGUGGAUGCUGGAUGUGGGGCCCUUUCCACGGGUCCCGUGUCGGAGCCAACGCGAUAAGCAUCCCGCCUGGAGAGUACGGCCGCAACGCUAACUCUCAUAGAAUGUGACGGGGGCCCGCACAAGCGGCGGAGCAUGCGGAUUAAUUCGAUGCAACGCGAAGAACCUUACCUGGGCUUGACAUGUGCCGGAUCGCCGUGGAGACACGGUUUCCCUUCGGGGCCGGUUCACAGGUGGUGCAUGGUCGUCGUCAGCUCGUGUCGUGAGAUGUUGGGUUAAGUCCCGCAACGAGCGCAACCCUCGCCGCAUGUUGCCAGCGGGUGAUGCCGGGAACUCAUGUGGGACCGCCGGGGUCAACUCGGAGGAAGGUGGGGAUGACGUCAGAUCAUCAUGCCCCUUACGUCCAGGGCUUCACGCAUGCUACAAUGGCCGGUACAACGCGGUGCGACACGGUGACGUGGGGCGGAU
rnacentral:rRNA from 1 species